rnacentral:rRNA from 1 species
UGCGUAGGCGGAAUAUUAAGUCAGUGGUGAAAUCCUGCGGCUCAACCGUAGAACUGCCAUUGAUACUGAUAUUCUUGAAUGUAGUUGAGGUAGGCGGAAUGUGUAAUGUAGCGGUGAAAUGCUUAGAUAUUACACAGAACACCGAUUGCGAAGGCAGCUUACUAAACUAUGAUUGACGCUGAGGCACGAAAGCGUGGGGAGCGAACAGGAUUAGAUUCCCUGGUAGUC